UUAAAUAAACGCUUUAGCAAACAGUUGAAAAUGGACUGAUACAGAGAUAAUUAGCAAGGACCCUGAACACAGAUGGCAUACCAAUUUGUGAAGGGUUCCUUGCUUAA